UCUUUAAUGGAGAGUUUGAUCCUGGCUCAGGACGAACGCUGGCGGCGUGCCUAAUACAUGCAAGUCGAG
rnacentral:rRNA from 1 species